UAAUUUUAAUAAAAUACAUAAAACAUUUGUUAGAAAAACAAGUUCUCUUUCUCAGAAGAACGUCUCAGCUGAAGACUUGAACAACUGAGGAACUGAAGUCGAGGAACAAUUAGGUCUUGCAGCUAGAAGGCGAUUUUAGCAAAGAAUAAAGGUUGUCACAUUAUUUAUCUAUGGUAGUGGUAUAGAUUAAUGUUAAAUAAAAAAAGGGACUUCUCUUUGUUGAGAGACAAGAUUAUGUCAUCCUCGAAGAAUGAAGAAUGUCCUUCUCAGGAUACAACAUAACGGAUUAAGGUUGCAGCCUUGUCUGCUGCAAAAGGUUUAAGUUGUGCUCAGGCUGAACGUGCUGCUACUGCUUCUGCCAGAUAUGCCAAUGCAUAUGGCAAAAAGGUCAUCGCUUCUUUGGUUCUCUCGUAAUGCCUACAGUCUCAUUUGGUUCUCCUUAAAUACCAUCGCAGCUUGAUCUAACACUUUGUUUUGGAGUACUACCCAAGGAAAUAACUAUGAGCACAAAUGGAUGGAGUGAUGCAGGGCAUGCUGUAAAUCAAGUGUAUGAUAUACUUUACGUGAUGGGCAUGACAAUAUUUUUGUCGUUGUGGAAGGUCAAGGUGGAAUACUUCCCAAUGUUACCAUUCUGCGUGAUGUUGGUGGAUAUCUCCCUAUAAUUUAUCAGGUGAUGAAAAAUCUCCAUUUACUCGACUUUUGUCACUAUUCUACAAGUCAAGAAUCAUUUGCUUUCAUGUCAUAUUGUUGGUUAGUUAAACAUCUCCAUAAUUUUCGUGUACUUGAAAUCUUGAGUAAGCUUACUUUUCACUAAUUUGUUAGGGAAAUGCUACAUGUGGUUAUUGUUAAUAAAGAGAAGAUAUUCCUCUUAGGUCCCAGAGGACGUUUGGAUAUCGACUCUAAUUUUGGAUUCAGAAAGAGCUUCUUCCCAUAGGGGAAAAGACAUUAUUGACCUCUUCGACAACCAACAGUGCAGCAAGUAAUGAUCAACAUAAUUUAAUCUGGUCCCACGGUGGUUUUCUCAUCGCAUAACAUACAAAUUUUGCUUGUACUUCAUAUGAUAGUAGAUCUGCUACAGUAGGAGCAUGUGGAUCAUCAUGUGUAUCAUGAAUCUUCACUGAAACCUUGCCUUCUUUUCUUUUUUCUUAUGCACUGUACCGAAGGAUUUGAAAUUCAAUAUGUAAAGUUGUACUUGAUUUUUGGUUGUCAGGAGAUCAUCUUACGAUCUAUCGCUAUGGUGCCCCAGAAUUUUGUGGAUAGUGUAUAAAGAGGAUUGGGCAUUGGGAUUGUUGCAUACAGCCCCCUAGGCCAGGGGUUUUUUUGUUGGAAGGAAUUCACAGAAAGCCUCCCUGUAGAAAGUCUGGUUGUACAAAGGGCUGUUAUGGAGUUAGCAAAUUCUUACGCAUGUAAUGGUCGUGGUGCUUUAAUGGAUUUUCCAUGUGUAGAUCUUCAACCACACUAAUGGACCCUUUCAAGUUGUAUGACCCAGUAGUAGGGUAUUCUGAAUAGGAUUGAUACAAAAGAGAGUGGAACACUGAGUUAGUUAUUCACUUAUAGUGUCAGAUGGUUACCUGAACUGCUCCUUGGACACACUGCAGACUGGCAAGCCUCAAUAUAAAGCGGCAUUGUAGAAGGAACUUGAUUUACUAGUUCGUGAUGAUGUCCAAUUGAUCAGUUUCAUUAGGAGGCUUGACCCACAAAAGGGUAUUGAUCUGAUUGUUGAGGCAGUGCCUUGGAUGAUCGUCCGAAGUGAAACGAGUAGGUGAAUGUCAAAAGAAAAAAGAUUUAUAAUUAUUCAGCCUUUCUUCACUAUUGUAGUAUUGUUGCCUUCUUAAUGGUUGAGGGUGGGUGGUGGAUUUGUUAGUUUCUAAAACAUUAAUUUUGCCUGUUAACUAUUCUUUUAUCAUCAUUUGAAAACAAUUGAGCUAUGUCCACGUGUAUAGAUUUAAUCACUUUCUAAUUAUUGUUUGUAUAAGAUUAUGUUAUUAUAUAUUGAAUAUAUGCAAUUC